AUUGAACGCUGGCGGCAGGCCUAACACAUGCAAGUCGAACGGUAACAGGAAGAAGCUUGCUUCUUUGCUGACGAGUGGCGGACGGGUGAGUAAUGUCUGGGAAACUGCCUGAUGGAGGGGGAUAACUACUGGAAACGGUAGCUAAUACCGCAUAACGUCGCAAGACCAAAGAGGGGGACCUUCGGGCCUCUUGCCAUCGGAUGUUCCCAGAUGGGAUUAGCUAGUAGGUGGGGUAACGGCUCACCUAGGCGACGAUCCCUAGCUGGUCUGAGAGGAUGACCAGCCACACUGGAACUGAGACACGGUCCAGACUCCUACGGGAGGCAGCAGUGGGGAAUAUUGCACAAUGGGCGCAAGCCUGAUGCAGCCAUGCCGCGUGUAUGAAGAAGGCCUUCGGGUUGUAAAGUACUUUCAGCGGGGAGGAAGGGAGUAAAGUUAAUACCUUGGCUCAUUGACGUUACCCGCAGAAGAAGCACCGGCUAACUCCGUG
rnacentral:rRNA from 1 species